rnacentral:rRNA from 1 species
UACAGAGGUGGCAAGCGUUGUUCGGAAUUACUGGGCGUAAAGGGCGCGUAGGCGGUCAGCACAAGUCAGUUGUGAAAUCUCCGAGCUUAACUCGGAAAGGUCAACUGAUACUGUGCGACUAGAGUGCAGAAGGGGCAACUGGAAUUCUUGGUGUAGCGGUGAAAUGCGUAGAUAUCAAGAGGAACACCUGCGGCGAAGGCGGGUUGCUGGGCUGACACUGACGCUCAGGCACGAAAGCGUGGGGAGCAAACAGG